AUAUUUGAGAAGGAUUGUCUGAAGGAAUUUCUGAAGCAAAUUCUCGAAAAUAACCCUCGAACAAAAUCUUGAAAAUAAAGUUAGCAAA
rfam:Aedes albopictus isolate Foshan contig4242, whole genome shotgun sequence.